UGAAAAUGAUGCACCGGUUGAAGAUUUUCCUGUCGCACAAGAUGACAGUUGCAACAUCCGCUGUGGGGAAAAAAGCAACAUCCGCUGUGGGGAAAAAAGCAACAUCGAGAAGAUUGGAACCAACAAAGAAAAUAAAAGUUCGUGAACAGGCUGUGAAAACGGGAGCUCAGUCAUUCUCGCCAAUAACGGUUUCGCGUGUGAUUCUUGCGGCUGCAAGACAGUGCCGCUGGUAAAACUCAUCGGCUUGACAAGACCGCUGAAAAGGCAAGAAACCCGAGAAUCGUCACAAUUGCCACCGUCAGCAAUCAGCCCAUCUCACACGAGGCACGAGAAAAUCGGAAGCAGAUAAUCUGGGAAGGCUGUGGACAAAAUUCACGACAGGAUUUUACCCGGUGGAAAUUUAAAUCCCUGAGUGUCCAGCUUUUCGGUCAGAACGACUCACGAUCCUCGAGAGUGGCAUUCAGACUCAAACGGUGGCGACAAAUACGUUGGUCACACCAAGUGUUUGCCAAUCGAAAAGUUCACAGAAAGGUUCGCUACCGGUACUGAAUUCCUUGGUCUCUGUCGCAUUCGGGAACGAGAAGAGCCUUCCCAGGAAGUAAGAAUGAAUAACAAUCUUUGGGCGUAUUCAUUCUGACCCGAAACGUGCCUCAGGGCUCUUCU